AUGUGACUUAGUUAGGGGGCGAACAUUAACUUGAACCAAAUGUUAAUUUGGUUUUACUAGUGAAUAGGCUUUUUGAAUUGGAUUCUCUGACUUCUCCCAUUAGUUGUCCCUCAAGCAGCCUGUUACAUUU